AUGGACGGAUAUAUCGAAACUGGCGUGAUUACUUCAGAGCAGGUGGAAGAUGCUUCGAAUGAACUACAUCAACAUACUCAUAACACGCUAGGAGAGACAAGCUCUGAGGAGAAUGUCACUGCAUUAGAUUUUGUCCAAAGUGCAAUCACAAGAAGGAACUUGGAGAAAAGAAUAGAGAAGGUAGAAAGCUACGUCGGUGAAGUGAAGCAGUCACCACUGUUGGGUGUAGCAAGCAAGAAUGCACUUAAUGAUACAGCCAACAAGAACGGGAGCCAAAUUAUGCCAGUUAGGAGAGUGAUUGCAGAAAAGCUUCAGGGAACACCUACUGCAGCAGCAAUAGUGGCAGGAGUGCCUGGGAAAAAUCCAGAUAUCAGUUCUUGGAAAAACACUGCAAGGAUUGCUUUCCAGAGGAUCUAUAGUAAGCUUAAUAUGGACAUCAAGCGGUGCUUUGAUUACUGCAGCAUUUUCCCUAGGAGAUCCAAGUUGAGAAGGGUCGACUUAGUUUGCAUGUGGACAGGGCAAAGGCUCGUAAAGACCCGUUGCGCAACAGAGGAUAUGGAAGAUGUAGCUGACGGCUACAUUGAGGCGUUAGUAUCACACUCAUUUCUGCAACGAGAAGGAACUUGUUCCGAUAUUGAUUGCUUUACAAUUCCUGAUCUGGUCCAUGAUUUUCUAGACGAGGUCAUUGGAAGUGAUUACUUCAGAAUUGAGAAUGGAAUGGGCCAGAGAAGAGAACGCUGGAAAGGGGAUGUCCCUCGAGAUGUCCGACAUCUUUUUGUUCAUAAUUAUGAUGCAAAAUUGAUUACUGAGAAGAUCAUUGGAUUGGAAAAUUUACGCACUCUCAUUAUUUAUGUUGUUGAAAGGGGCACCACAGUUGAGAAAGAAGUGAUUGAGAAUAUAUGCGAUAGGCUACCGAAGUUACGGGUGCUGGCCGUUGCAUUCAGCCAGGAACGUUAUCCAAUCGAGCUCCCCAUUGAGUUCUGUGUCCCAGAAUCCAUUAGUCACUUAAAGCGCCUAUGCUAUCUUGCUUUCAGGACAAGCUACUCGUGCACAGUAAUUGUACCAAGCGCGCUAGCUAAACUUCAACGUAUCCAGCUGCUAGAUUUUGGUGAUGGUAAAAUUUUGGAAUUUACCUUUUCUGAUCUUAUCAACUUGCGGCACAUAUUCUGCGGGGACAUGGAAUUUUCUAACAUAGGCAGGAUGGUCGCACUUCAAAUGCUACCACAAUUCAGGGUGAGUAAUGAGCAAGGUUACGAGAUAAAUCAGCUGAGGGACCUAAACAAGCUUUGUGGCAGUCUGGUGAUAAGGGGCCUUGAAAAUGUUAAUAGCAAAGAGGAAGCUGUUGAAGCCAAUCUAGCUGCCAAGGAAUGCCUAACACAUGUGACAUUGUCAUGGGGUUGUGAUACAAGGUGCAGUCAAGAAGUUGGAGCUGAGGUACUUGAGGGCCUGUGCCCUCCUUUGGGGCUUGAAUCACUGGCGAUCUGUAACUACAGAGGUUUGAGGUACCCAGAUUGGAUGGUGGGUAAGCAGAAUGGUGGUCCAAAGGAUCUGAAAAAUCUUGAGUUGGAAUGUUGCUUUCAACCGGGACCUGCUCCUGAACUUGGGGCUUUCAUUCAUCUCCGUGUGCUCUCGUUGCAGAGCUGCAGCUGGGACGCCUUAUCAAUUAAUAUUGAGUACCUCGCAUCACUUCAGUCUCUGGAUAUCGUUAAUUGCCCUAACAUCCGGUCACUUCCAACACUGCCCCAGUCACUUCAGGAAAUUUCUAUUCGAAGAUGCAAUGACGCGUUCCUGAAAUCUUGUGAAAGAGUGGGACAUCCAAACUGGCAGAAGAUUGAGCACGUCCCCACUAAAAAAAUUUCGAAAACCUAA
rnacentral:rRNA from 1 species